UACGUAGGGUGCAAGCGUUAAUCGGAAUUACUGGGCGUAAAGCGUGCGCAGGCGGUUAUGUAAGACAGAUGUGAAAUCCCCGGGCUCAACCUGGGAACUGCAUUUGUGACUGCAUAGCUAGAGUACGGUAGAGGGGGAUGGAAUUCCGCGUGUAGCAGUGAAAUGCGUAGAUAUGCGGAGGAACACCGAUGGCGAAGGCAAUCCCCUGGACCUGUACUGACGCUCAUGCACGAAAGCGUGGGGAGCGAACCGG
rnacentral:rRNA from 1 species